GACGAACGCUGGCGGCGUGCUUAACACAUGCAAGUCGAACGGAAAGGCCCUGCUUGCAGGGUACUCGAGUGGCGAACGGGUGAGUAACACGCGGGUGAUCUGCCUUGCACUUCGGGAUAGGUGUGGGAAACGGGGUCUAUUACCGGAUAGGACCGCACUUUAGUGUGUGUGGGGGAAAGUUUUUUUGGUGUAGGGUGAGCGUUCGGCCUAUCAGCGUGUUGGUGGGGUAUUGGCUUAGCAAGGCGGCGACGGGUAGCCGGUCUGUGGUGGGGGACGGCCACCUUCGGACUGGGAUACGACCCACACUCCUGCCUGCGGCAGCAGGGGGCAGUAUUGCACAAUGGGCGCUAGGCUGAGGCCGCGACGCCGCGUGGCGCAUGAAGGCCUUCGGCUUGUAGGCUCCUUUCGCUAGUGACGAGGCUUUGUUGUGACGGUACCUAGAUAAUAAGCACCGGCUAACUACGUG
rnacentral:rRNA from 1 species